rnacentral:rRNA from 1 species
AUUGAACGCUGGCGGCAGGCCUAACACAUGCAAGUCGAGCGGAUGAGAGGAGCUUGCUUCUCGAUUCAGCGGCGGACGGGUGAGUAAUGCCUAGGAAUCUGCCUGGUAGUGGGGGACAACGUUUCGAAAGGAACGCUAAUACCGCAUACGUCCUACGGGAGAAAGCAGGGGACCUUCGGGCCUUGCGCUAUCAGAUGAGCCUAGGUCGGAUUAGCUAGUUGGUGAGGUGAUGGCUCACCAAGGCGACGAUCCGUAACUGGUCUGAGAGGAUGAUCAGUCACACUGGAACUGAGACACGGUCCAGACUCAUACGGGAGGCAGCAGUGGGGAAUAUUGGACAAUGGGCGAAAGCCUGAUCCAGCCAUGCCGCGUGUGUGGAGAAGGUCUUCGGAUUGUAAAGCACUUUAAGUUGGGAGGAAGGGUUGUAGAUUAAUACUCUGCAAUUUUGACGUUACCGACAGAAUAAGCACCGGCUAACUCUGUGCCAGCCGCCGCCGUAACAC